GGGGAAUUUUGCACAAUGGGGGAAACCCUGAUGCAGCAACGCCGCGUGAGUGAAGAAGGCCUUCGGGUUGUAAAGCUCUUUCGGCCAAGAAGAAGGGUAUUGCAGCUAAUAUCUGCAGCACUUGACGGUAUUGGAACAAGAAGCACCGGCUAAUUUCGUGCCAGCAGCCGCGGUAAUACGAGAGGUGCAAGCGUUAUUCGGAAUGACUGGGUGUAAAGGGCGCGUAGGCGGAUAAAGAAGUCAACUGUGAAAACCCUAGGCUUAACCUGGGACGUGCAGUUGAAACCAUUUAUCUUGAAUGUCGGAGAGGGUGGCGGAAUUCCGGGUGUAGAAGUGAAAUUCGUAGAGAUCCGGAGGAACACCAGAGGCGAAGGCGGCUACCUGGCCGUGCAUUGACGCUGAGGCGCGAAAGCGUGGGGAGCAAAC
rnacentral:rRNA from 1 species